rnacentral:rRNA from 1 species
UACGUAGGGCGCAAGCGUUGUCCGGAAUUAUUGGGCGUAAAGAGCUCGUAGGCGGUCUGUUGCGUCUGCUGUGAAAACUCGGGGCUUAACCCCGAGCCUGCAGUGGAUACGGGCAGACUAGAGGUAGGUAGGGGAGAAUGGAAUUCCCGGUGUAGCGGUGAAAUGCGCAGAUAUCGGGAGGAACACCGGUGGCGAAGGCGGUUCUCUGGGCCUUACCUGACGCUGAGGAGCGAAAGCGUGGGGAGCGAACAGG